rnacentral:rRNA from 1 species
UACAGAGGGGGCAAGCGUUAUUCGGAAUUAUUGGGCGUAAAGGGCGCGUAGGCGGCUUUGCAAGUGACGGGUGAAAUCCCUCGGCUUACCCGUGGAACUGCCUGGCAGACUGCGGUGCUAGAGGUUGGUAGGGGAGAGCGGAACUCUUGGUGGAGCGGUGAAGUGCGUAGAUAUCUGGAGGAACACCGGUGGCGAAGGCGGCAUCCUGGACCGAGAUCGACGCUGAGGCGCGAAAGCUAGGGGAGCAAACGGG